rnacentral:rRNA from 1 species
AGUGAACGCUGGCGGUAGGCCUAACACAUGCAAGUCGAGCGGCAGCACAGUAAGAGCUUGCUCUUACGGGUGGCGAGUGGCGGACGGGUGAGGAAUACAUCGGAAUCUACUUUUUCGUGGGGGAUAACGUAGGGAAACUUACGCUAAUACCGCAUACGACCUACGGGUGAUAGCAGGGGAUCUUCGGACCUUGCGCGAUUGAAUGAGCCGAUGUCGGAUUAGCUAGUUGGCGGGGUAAAGGCCCACCAAGGCGACGAUCCGUAGCUGGUCUGAGAGGAUGAUCAGCCACACUGGAACUGAGACACGGUCCAGACUCCUACGGGAGGCAGCAGUGGGGAAUAUUGGACAAUGGGCGCAAGCCUGAUCCAGCCAUACCGCGUGGGUGAAGAAGGCCUUCGGGUUGUAAAGCCCUUUUGUUGGGAAAGAAAAGCAGCAGGUUAAUACCCCGCUGUUCUGACGGUACCCAAAGAAUAAGCACCGGCUAACUUCGUG